CAGUCGCCACGGUAAUACGUAGGUGGCAAGCGUUGUCCGGAAUUAUUGGGCGUAAAGGGCUCGCAGGCGGUUUCUUAAGUCUGAUGUGAAAGCCCCCGGCUCAACCGGGGAGGGUCAUUGGAAACUGGGAAACUUGAGUGCAGAAGAGGAGAGUGGAAUUCCACGUGUAGCGGUGAAAUGCGUAGAGAUGUGGAGGAACAUCAGUGGCGAAGGCGACUCUCUGGUCUGUAACUGACGCUGAGGAGCGAAAGCGUGGGGAGCGAACAGGAUUAGAUACCCCCGUAGUCCCUGUCUCUUAUAC
rnacentral:rRNA from 1 species